CUCUUAUGAAGAGCGGCGGAGGGAAUAGGCCCUGUGAAGCCCGGCAACUUGAACAUUCAGGUGCUCCAUCCUACAGAUAUAUCAUCUGAAAGAUAAGAG
rnacentral:ncRNA from 1 species